rnacentral:rRNA from 1 species
UACAGAGGUCUCGAGCGUUGGGCGGAAUCACUGGGCUUAAAGCGUGUGUAGGCGGAUCGGUAAGUACCUUGUGAAAUCCCACAGCUUAACUGUGGAACUGCUUGGUAUACUGCCAGUCUUGAGCCACUUAGGGGCUACCGGAACAAAUGGUGGAGCGGUGAAAUGCGUAGAUAUCAUUUGGAACGCCAAUGGUGAAAACAGGUAGCUGGGAGUGUGCUGACGCUGAGACACGAAAGCCAGGGGAGCAAACGGG